AAGUCUCAAGCGUCACAUGCUCGGCCUAGAGUAACCAUAUACUUGUUCUUAAGGCCACUAUAUUUUACAAAACCAUAUCUCACAUUAUACUAGUACGCAACCACUCAUAGCAUAUGCACAUGAUGAGAGUAUGAGUCUCAACAAAGUUUAAAACACAAAAAGAGGAUCAAGACACAAUCUUCGAUAUCUAAUGGCGUCGUCACCACGAUGGCCGACCCCGGAACUCGAUGAUACCAUUUUGUAGAUUUGCAGUGUAUGAACCAAUAAAGCCUACUGUCGCUCUGAAAUGAAAAGUAAGGGUCAGUGCUAAUCACUAGGUGAUGAUCUUUGUCUUGGCCCACUCUCAGGUACACAUAAUUAAAUAGAAAGUAUAUGGAAUUUAACACAUAAGGCUAAUUCUAUAAUCUAAUUCAUAUCCAUAUUUUAUUUGGGAUCUCGGCUCACAUAUGCUGACGACCCAUAUACAUGUCAGUGGCACCAAAUCGGGCUGCAUAUAGUGGCGCCUACCAAGGCCCACGAUGAUAGUUAGUGUGGCGCUUACCAAAGCCCACAAAAAUAGCUAGUUGUGGCGCUUACCAAGGCCCACCACGUAAUAGAAACGCAAUAAGCACAAUCGCCACAAUACGGACCCUAACUAGGUGAUCAAUAAAUUACCGGAUUUAUUCAAUAAUCAGUAAUAGCUACAGCUCAUAUUAACACAUAUAAUAAAUCAGAUAUAUCAGCAAAGUAACAGAACAUAUAUUAAGUCAUAAUAUGAUAAAGAAGCAUAUAUAAUCUUAAGAUUAAACAGCUAUUAUCCUAUCAUAUCAUGCAUAUGGCCUUUAAUAAUAAUAAACUCAUAAUGAAACGUCUAACCCAUUCAAAUACGCAGGAGACCCACACCAAAAAUAAUCUUCAACAACUCCGAUACCAGCUUCCAAGUCGAGAUGGAAUUCCAAGAAACUUCCGUAUAAAAAACUAGGUGUAACUGCUACCUUUCCCGAAUCGUUUGUACGUAGGACACUGUAGUGUUU
rnacentral:lncRNA from 1 species